CUGAUCUGUCUCUGUAAGAAAUCUUCAAUUAAGCUAUGUUGCUGUAAAGAAGAAUGUAUGCCCUGGCAUCUUUUUCUCUAGUUUGCCAACUCAGCCUGAUUCCACACCUUGCAGUACUUUCUCUUCCUGCGUAAUACGGCUAAUUACUAGGAUGCAGUAUUGCAGGCUAACUCUGCCUGCUGCCAGGAGUUACAUCAUGACCAGCUCAAGGUUGACUCAUCCUUCCAUCCUUCCAAGAUCAGGCAAUGUACGAGGAACAAGUAAAAGUGACUAUGUUG